rnacentral:rRNA from 1 species
AUUGAACGCUGGCGGCAGGCCUAACACAUGCAAGUCGAGCGGGAACUUCGGUUCUAGCGGCGGACGGGCGAGUAAUGCGUAGGAAGCUACCCGAUAGAGGGGGAUACCAGUUGGAAACGACUGUUAAUACCGCAUAAUGUCUACGGACCAAAGUGUGGGACCUUCGGGCCACAUGCUAUCGGAUGCGCCUACGUGGGAUUAGCUAGUUGGUGAGGUAAUGGCUCACCAAGGCGACGAUCCCUAGCUGGUUUGAGAGGAUGAUCAGCCACACUGGAACUGAGACACGGUCCAGACUCCUACGGGAGGCAGCAGUGGGGAAUAUUGGACAAUGGGCGCAAGCCUGAUCCAGCCAUGCCACGUGUGUGAAGAAGGCCUUCGGGUUGUAAAGCACUUUCAGCGAGGAGGAAGGGGUUGUAGUUAAUAGCUGCAACCUUUGACGUUACUCGCAGAAGAAGCACCGGCUAACUCUGUGCCAGCAGCCGCCGUAAAAC